rnacentral:rRNA from 1 species
UAAGGAAUAUUGGUCAAUGGGCGCAAGCCUGAACCAGCCAUGCCGCGUGCAGGAAGACGGCCCUAUGGGUUGUAAACUGCUUUUGUCAGGGAAUAAACCCCCGCUCGUGAGCGGGGCUGAAGGUACCUGAAGAAUAAGCAUCGGCUAACUCCGUGCCAGCAGCCGCGGUAAUACGGAGGAUGCAAGCGUUAUCCGGAUUCAUCGGGUUUAAAGGGUGCGCAGGCGGAUUGGUAAGUCAGGGGUGAAAUCCCACAGCUCAACUGUGGAACUGCCUUUGAUACUGUCAGACUAGAGUAUAGCUGAAGUGGGCGGAAUGUGUCAUGUAGCGGUGAAAUGCUUAGAUAUGACACAGAACACCGAUCGCGAAGGCAGCUCGCUAAGCUAUAACUGACGCUCAUGCACGAAAGCGUGGGGAUCAAACAG